UACGAAGGGUGCAAACGUUGCUCGGAAUUAUUGGGCGUAAAGCGCACGUAGGCGGCAUUGCAAGUCGGAUGUGAAAUCCCUCGGCUUAACCGGGGAACUGCGUCUGAUACUGGAUGGCUUGAGUUCGGGAGAGGGAUGCGGAAUUCCAGGUGUAGCGGUGAAAUGCGUAGAGAUCGGGAGGAACACCAGAGGCGAAGGCGGCGACCUGGACAAGUACUGACACUCAACUACGAAAGCUAGGGGAGCAAACGGG
rnacentral:rRNA from 1 species